rnacentral:lncRNA from 1 species
GCGUUGGAUUUAAUCAUUGUCUUUGUGAUGGAAUUGGUAGUGCUGAGUUCCUCAACUUGUUCGCUGAAUUAGCUACUGGUAAGCAAAAAUUCACUGAAUUAAAGCGUCAAGUAUGGAAUCGUUAUCUGAUGGAUCCAAACAUUUAUAAUAAGCGCAUUUAUCAACAAAAUCAUCCCGAGUUUAAGAAAGUACCUGAUCUUUGUAACUUUGAUUCUCAAUUUUCUCAACUCGCACCUACUUCAGUUACAUUCAACAGGAGCAGAGUAAACGAAUUGAAGAAAUUAUUAACAUACAGCCAAUCCUCUUGCACUUCGUUUGAAGUACU